CGCUAAUACCUCAUAAUGCAGCGGAUCGCAUGGAUAGUGUUGUAAAGGUUUACCGCCUUGGGAUAGGCUUGCGUCUGAUUAGCUAGUUGGUGUGGUAACGGCACACCAAGGCUACGAUCAGUAACUGGUCUGAGAGGAUGAUCAGUCACACUGGAACUGAGACACGGUCCAGACUCCUACGGGAGGCAGCAGUGAGGAAUAUUGGGCAAUGCUCGAAAGAGUGACCCAGCAACGCGCGUGGAGGAUGAAGGUAUUCUAUAUCGUAAACUCCUGUGAGAGCAGACGAAAGACAGAUUAUUAAUCUGGAUGGCUGUAUGCUCAGAGGAAGCCCCGGCUAACUACGUG
rnacentral:rRNA from 1 species